UACGAAGGGGGCUAGCGUUGCUCGGAAUCACUGGGCGUAAAGGGUGCGUAGGCGGGUCUUUAAGUCAGGGGUGAAAUCCUGGAGCUCAACUCCAGAACUGCCUUUGAUACUGAAGAUCUUGAGUCCGGGAGAGGUGAGUGGAACUGCGAGUGUAGAGGUGAAAUUCGUAGAUAUUCGCAAGAACACCAGUGGCGAAGGCGGCUCACUGGCCCGGUACUGACGCUGAGGCACGAAAGCGUGGGGAGCGAACGGG
rnacentral:rRNA from 1 species